CCCGAGCCAGCCCCACCGCAGGACGCCGAACACCAACACGCUGUCGGCAUCUCUUAAAAAAAAAUAAUUUCUGCCCAAGAGGCACGUUGGAGGCGAAAAGCAACUCUGCUAAUGCUCCCCUGCCUGACGUAUUGCUUUGAGGAAGGAAGCAUGAGCGCCUUUUGGAAGAGCUGCCCUUAAGUGCGAAGGGAGCGCAGUAACAGCGCACCAAAGAGAUGCACACAAUACAUCUCCUCUGUUAGUUGACAACCCUCUUCUAUUUCGGGAAUGCUCAUCUGCAGGUGGAAUUGGAUUUAUGUUCCCAUGACUGACAACACAACUCGCUCGACUCCGCUCCAUCCCGGCCUAUGGCAGCUGCUGCUAUUUUGAGCACUCUGCCUCUCCAGCGCUGCCGAACAGUAUUAUUCCAAAGGAGUUUUGCAAGAGGGUGAAGAAGCCUCUCCAGCAAAGCCAGGGUCUCCUUGCAUUAAUGGGCUUUUCUUAAACAUAACAUGGAGUUGUUGAAACUAUUAUAAUGGAAUUAAAGUCACCGCCCCGUAGCCCACUCAUUGCCCUGCUGGAAUGGGCAAAAAUAGUCUUGCCUGGGCUAUCACAAAGCUAUUCUUCACCAGCAAGUGGGAAAGCACCUAUACCCUCUUAUCCUGACAAGACCCUUGCCUUCUGGUGACAGACGCGUUGUAGUCCUUCAGAAGUCACAGCUACAGCCAGUCUAUGCUGGAAUUGUCCCUAGAAAUAUCCAUAAGCCAAAAGAAACAGAAAAACAUGACGUAACAAUAAGGUUGAGUCAAUAUCAUACGUACUCCUAGCAAGAAAUGUUAAAUGUAGAGCACAUAAUUUUCUUUUUCACACAUACGCACCACAAAUACUUUUCACAAACGCGCACCAGAAGAGCAGGUUGGUUUUAGACUUCUUAAGAAAUGUAAGAGUUAACUGCUCCUUAGGAGAAGUGUCAACCUAGAUCCCCAGAAAGAAAAGCUGAGGGUGGGAUAAUAAGGCAAAGAAUGUUAACCGUCUAAUUAGCAAUCAGAGAAAGACGAAUUUUGUGAUCAGUCAGCAGCACUGACUUCUUCAGCCUUCACACUGACCCGGUGCAAGCACCGCGGUUCAGCGAGGGCUGCUCUCGGAGGCUCACCCCGAGGUCCCUCACACGCGGAACCGCUAAUUGCUACAAGCGGCUCUGCAAGAUGAAGAGCGAAGCUGGCCCAUCGACCAGAAACUGGGAGUUUAGCUUCUUCCCUGCACCAGUUGAAAGGCUGCCCACCGCAGCUCGCGUGAUCCCACUUCCAUCGCAAUUAGCCACAAAAGCUCUAGCAGGUCAGCAAUUGUUUCAGCCUUCAGAAGCUCGUGUCUUCCACGAUGCCUGUAACAAACAAUGCCUGGACAAAUUAAAUUCUAGUCAAGUCGUCACCAGCUGCAGCUCAUAUGCACACAAUUUUUUAACUAACAUUCUGGAGCAAGCCCUUCCUUGUCCUCCAUAAGCUGAAUUGCUUGUGCCCCACAGGGCUGUUAGAAAAUAAUUACUUCUCUAAACCCACAGGCUACUCUUCCAAAGUAGGUGUGCCCCAUGACUAAUAUCUGGCAGCCAACCAGUUCCAUCUGCAUUGGUAUGCUGCGAGCACAGAGCCGCUGCUGUCACUUCCAACAGCUCCUGGUAGAUCUACGCUAACAAAUGUGAAAUCCUUCUUUUUCACCCCAGCGUCCUCUGUUAAAAACGCUGCAUGUAUUUCUGUCCAUGUCUUCACGAAGUGUAUCUGCUAUUUAUCAUGUGCGCUUAUAGAUCGGUCUUUAAAGCAAACGCCUCUAAAGCUCGACAAGUUUCUACAAGGGACCACAGCGCCAUACAUUUGAGCGCUGACAAAUGAAUUUGGCAUUGCACCUCUGCAGUGUAAAUCAUCGGAAAACACAGGAUUUUGUUGCCUUUCCCAGAAAGAUGUUUACAGCAAGCCCCUUCAGAGCACAAGGUGGGAUUUACACAAAGAAGAGUCUGCAGACUCACCAAAAUGGAAUUAGAGAAACCCACCCGUAGCUCCUCCUGGGGACACGCUUUCUACAGCUCGCUUCCCGGCACAGCCAGCAUCACGGCACCAGGAAACACGAAUUCAUUCAAACAGGCAGGGAACGCGCAGUACGGCCUGAAGCAGCUCUUUCAGACGGGUGCGGGAGCACUAGGAGCCGAACUCUGCUUAGUAAAACAGGCUGCGGGAGACACUCGAGAGAUAGGAAGACACCCGUGUUCACAGCGCUGACUCUGCCCGAAUGCGUCCUCAGUAUGUUCAAAUCAUGUGUUUGCACCCCAAAAACAACCAGGCAACGUGAUGUUAAAGACACCCCAUCCAAACUGACGGACAUACAGGUCUACCAACGGACAGACACCCGUAUUCCCAAAAAUAAACAGUGCUGGAAACUUUUGUGGGCAAAGCAGCACAGGGUUAUAAAUUGGAAGAAAAAGACAGGAUAAGAGGUUAGUUUAUUUCCAAGUACUUUUACAUUCCUCUGAGAGCUCUUCUUACGCUCACACAUUCACCUGAAAACAUCCUCCAGGUCCCACUCGUAACAAAAAACCCCAGUAAAUCACCAUACUGACCAGCACCUAACCCCAUCCCGCCUGCCGUUAUCCCCACCUGACUCGAGACGGCAACCAGAGCAGAAGGGUGCUCUCCAUUUAUCCAUUUCUGUGUUCCUUCUUUACCAACAAACACCCAAGAAACCAACAAACCAAACCAACAAAAUUAGGCUUAGUGAUUCCCUGACCACAUGAAAAACUACGGUUUAAGGACCAUCAACACUUGAAUUUCCAGUCUUGCAGUUUUGUCUUCAAAUUUUGUUCCAUUCUUAGCCUUACAGGACACCGCCCCGCUCUCAGCUGCUAGAUAACGUUUCAUUAUUUUAAUACAUUCUUCUCAUCCUUCCCUGCUUUUCAAAACCGAUACCUUCAAAAAUCUCACACAAAGAUUACGACUUACUGAAUAUUUAUUUCCUCAUUUCUAAGCUACAGUUCCGGUACUCAAGCAGAAAAUGUGCUGGUACCACGAGCCGUGUUCCACUUCCAUUAUUAGCUCUAACACGUACUUUGCAAAAACUCAUUGUAUAUCCUUCCAGAUGAUCAGCGCCACUUUCGUUUCAAGAUUUACCAGUCAGUAUCUCACGAGGAUGGAAGUCAACGGGUCAAGACCAACAACGUAACUCCACAUGCCAUUCAACGGCCGGAUGACGACGAGGUUUAAUCGGGAUUAGCUGCAAUUAAACCCGCCUGACAACGGCGUAACACACGCUUUCCGACGGAGCCACCGCAGGCGCUCGCGACACUCGGGGGUUGCAGGGAAAAAAAAUGGUUUCCCAGCACUUUGCUCGAGACAUGAUGAGUGCAAUGCUCCUUGAAAACGAUGCCAGUUCCUUUUGAUCAUCGGAAAUGCGUUACCUGGAGCAAUCUGCUCCGACAGACGCACUCCAAUCUCACACCGGCCAGAAGAGCGUCCGCUAACAUUACACUUAACAACAUAAUUCCAAAGUUAGAAGCAAAAAAGUCACAUAUUUUGGUCUUAAUUAAGGAUCUUUCUUUAAAAAAAAGAAAAAGAGCCUCUCGGGCCUUUUUUUCUUUUUUUUUUUUUUCCCCCCCAAUAGAAAAGUCACAUUAAAACGUUAAAUUCACUACAUUCGUGUUUGGGAAUUGUACCAUAAUUCAUAGCAAGUAACCGAAAAGAGAAGCCAUGACACUUCAUGAUUUAUUGAGCAUAAACACUGAUCCUCUGCCAGCAAAAAAAAAAAAAAAAAAAAAAAAAAAAAGUAGUUACCCUUAGACUGGGGGAAAUAACCAUGACUACAGCAGGAAUAACCUCCUAAAAGCAGUACGUACACAGAGAAACUCUUCUGUACUUUCAGAACGGCAGCGGUAAAAUCCGAGGACAAGCUGCAAAGGGUUAAAACGCAAGGAACAGUUAGACUUUGUCCAUUUUUCUAAGAGCAGAUGAGACAGAAAUGGACAAAAAGCCUUCAGGGCUCAAAAAAAACCCUCAAACUACUCCAUGUAUUUAAAAAUAGAUUUAUUUUUUCUGAAGGGGAUAAGUUGGGGGCGGGGGCGAAAGGCAGCUUUUGGAGAGCGUUAGCAGAAUGUCAGUCUCGGUGUCUGGGUGCUCCCCGGAGCCAUGCGAGGGGGUGUCAUCUCCCCGCUGCCACCUGAGCAGCACCGGGGGGUGUCGGGAGGAGGAAAAUCCUCCCACCGCCCCCGGACCCACAGCCCCAAUGCUGCCGUCAGCCCAGAGUCCUCUCUGCCACCCAUACCGUCGCAUCAGCAGUGAGAUAUAUUUAAAAAAAAAAAAAUAAAAAAAAUCACUCUUACACAGUCCGUUUUCUAGCUUUUUUUUUUUUUUCUUCCUCCUCCCCUCUUUCUGUCAAAUGAAAAUAAAACAAAGCGGGAGUUACUGAGAUUUCCCAGCUUUUACAACUUCUUAAAAGCCCAUUAAAAAAAAAAUAAAAUCUAUCUUUAACUGCAAAUUCCGAAACGUUUUCAGUUAUACAAAGCCAACACGGGCUGGAGUACUUUCAAACUUUUUCUUGCCGGUUAGAAGGAAGGGGGAAAAACAUACAAUAAAUUACGAAAAAGCAUAAUCCUUAACUAAAUUUCCUGUUUUGUGUCUCAGCAUUAACAGUGUGCCCGAAUUUCCUCCUUUUUCUUUUUUUUUUUCUUUUUUUUUUUUUUUUUU